AGACCCGAAACCCGGUGAUCUAGCCAUGGGCAGGUUGAAGGUUGGGUAACACUAACUGGAGGACCGAACCGACUAAUGUUGAAAAAUUAGCGGAUGACCUGUGGCUGGGGGUGAAAGGCCAAUCAAACCGGGAGAUAGCUGGUUCUCCCCGAAAGCUAUUUAGGUAGCGCCUCGUGAAUUCAUCUCCGGGGGUAGAGCACUGUUUCGGCUAGGGGGCCAUCCCGGCUUACCAACCCGAUGCAAACUGCGAAUACCGGAGAAUGUUAUCACGGGAGACACACGGCGGGUGCUAACGUCCGUCGUGAAGAGGGAAACAACCCAGACCGCCAGCUAAGGUCCCAAAGUCAUGGUUAAGUGGGAAACGAUGUGGGAAGGCCCAGACAGCCAGGAUGUUGGCUUAGAAGCAGCCAUCAUUUAAAGAAAGCGUAAUAGCUCACUGGUCGAGUCGGCCUGCGCGGAAGAUGUAACGGGGCUAAACCAUGCACCGAAGCUGCGGCAGCGAACGUAUCACUUAAAGCGAUUCAGCGGGUUACGAUUGACGGAGCGAAGCGACGUCAAAGCGUAUACAAAGUCGAGUCGGUUUAAGGAUACGUUCGUUGGGUAGGGGAGCGUUCUGUAAGCCUGUGAAGGUGGCCUGUGAGGGUUGCUGGAGGUAUCAGAAGUGCGAAUGCUGACAUAAGUAACGAUAAAGCGGGUGAAAAGCCCGCUCGCCGGAAGACCAAGGGUUCCUGUCCAACGUUAAUCGGGGCAGGGUGAGUCGACCCCUAAGGCGAGGCCGAAAGGCGUAGUCGAUGGGAAACAGGUUAAUAUUCCUGUACUUGGUGUUACUGCGAAGGGGGGACGGAGAAGGCUAUGUUGGCCGGGCGACGGUUGUCCCGGUUUAAGCGUGUAGGCUGGUUUUCCAGGCAAAUCCGGAAAAUCAAGGCUGAGGCGUGAUGACGAGGCACUACGGUGCUGAAGCAACAAAUGCCCUGCUUCCAGGAAAAGCCUCUAAGCAUCAGGUAACAUCAAAUCGUACCCCAAACCGACACAGGUGGUCAGGUAGAGAAUACCAAGGCGCUUGAGAGAACUCGGGUGAAGGAACUAGGCAAAAUGGUGCCGUAACUUCGGGAGAAGGCACGCUGACACGUAGGUGAAGU
rnacentral:rRNA from 1 species